rnacentral:rRNA from 1 species
AGUGAACGCUGGCGGUAGGCCUAAUACAUGCAAGUCGAACGGCAGCACAGUAAGAGCUUGCUCUUACGGGUGGCGAGUGGCGGACGGGUGAGGAAUACAUCGGAAUCUACUUUUUCGUGGGGGAUAACGUAGGGAAACUUACGCUAAUACCGCAUACGACCUACGGGUGAAAGCAGGGGAUCUUCGGACCUUGCGCGAUUGAAUGAGCCGAUGUCGGAUUAGCUAGUUGGCGGGGUAAAGGCCCACCAAGGCGACGAUCCGUAGCUGGUCUGAGAGGAUGAUCAGCCACACUGGAACUGAGACACGGUCCAGACUCCUACGGGAGGCAGCAGUGGGGAAUAUUGGACAAUGGGCGCAAGCCUGAUACAGCCAUACCGCGUGGGUGAAGAAGGCCUUCGGGUUGUAAAGCCCUUUUGUUGGGAAAGAAAAGCAGCAGGUUAAUACCCCGCUGUUCUGACGGUACCCAAAGAAUAAGCACCGGCUAACUUCGUG